UGCGUGACAAGCCUGAGUGGACAGAAUCUCCACCUGAGGCCGUGUCAUGGACAGGGUGUAAACCAGCUGUGGCAAAUAACUCAACAAGGAGACUUCCAACAGGAUAACAUGUUCAUCUGCACUUUGGACAUGACCAGCCUCCAUCUGGACCGGACAUGCUCAGACAGACACAACUGGGAAUACAGGGAGGAUGAUACUUUGUACCAUCGGUUACUCCAGCUCUGUCUCCAAGCCAACCCAGAUGGCAUCAUUGAAAUUACAAUCUGUGACUCCUCACCCUCGCAACAGUGGAACAUUAUCCGGACGUAGGUCUGCAACAGUUGGGGAAUUUAGGUUUUCAUUCUGCCUGACAGUGGUACAUCAUGCGGACAUAGGUCUUCACAGUCUGGUAGUGUUACAUCAUGCGGACAUAGGUCAUCACACAGUCUGGUAGUGGUACAUCGUGUGGACAAAGGUCAUCAUACUGUCUGGUAGUGGUACAUCAUGCGGACAUAGGUCUUCACACUGCCUAGCAGAAAGACAUCAGGCUGACACAGGUUUUCACACUGCCUGGCAGUUAGACAUCAGACUGACAUAGGUCUUCACACUGCCUGGUAGUUAGACAUCAGGCUGACACAGGUUUUCACACUGCCUGGCAGUUAGACAUCAGGCUGACAUAGGUCUUCAAACUGCCUGGUAGAGAGAAAUCAUGAUUACAUUUGUCUACAAUUUACCUGGCAGAUAGACAUCAGUCGGAUACAGGGAGCGACACUACGUGACAGUAACAGUUACUUGGCAGGAAACUAUGUAUGAAAACGAGUUUGUUUUAUUUCCUGUGAGUAUUUAUAAAAUGUAUUUACAAUAAUAUAAAAUGUAUUUGUAAUUGGAAUGGAAUAUACCUGACUCAGUACAUAUUCCAUUAAUUACACAUGUGUGGUGUGCACAUUUGCAAUUGGGGUGAAUAUGACAUACUUCCUGCCUUAGCGUUUGGUGAUUAGUAUCAUCGUUGGUAUUGAUCGACAUUUAUUCAUGACAAAUGUAGGCCUCCGGCUCAUGCUCAUAUGGGUGGUCAGUCAGCAUAUAAUAUAUGUAACAAUAAACAUUAGCAGUCAACAUGCAUCUUUCUGAAGCAAUUUGCAUGAAACAUAUACUUAGCCAGGUGUCAAAUUUCAUUCGUAUCCGUUGAUGCCAAAAGCAUAUUGUAUUUGUUACGUGUAGGGUAUGAUAUACAUUUAGUAGGUAUGUACUUCUCACGCAGUGUUUUAUACCGGACACAAACCAUCAAAAAUUGUAUUCAUCUUCGACGUAACCUUCAUUACAAAGAGUGCACAACCUCUUAAUCUCUUGGAAUGUUGAAAUACCUGUCAGUUUCUAUUUUGAGAACAUGGGAACAGCACUGGGGGCUAAGUCUGGGCUGUACAGUUAAAUCACCCACCCUACAGCCCAGACUUAGCCCCAAAUCACUAUUUCCUGUUCAGGCAAAUGAAAUCUGCCCUACGUGGGAGACGCUUCCAGGAUGACGAGGACAUGAAGGCUGCCACAGAGGCGAGGUAAGAGCGCCAAUCUGCGGAUUUCUAUAAAAAUGCUAGUAAAAGC
rnacentral:lncRNA from 1 species